GCGGCCGGACGGGAGUUCCCCGGAGAAGGAUCCUGCAGCCCGAGUCCCGAGGAUAAAGCUUGGGGUUCAUCCUCCUUCCCUGGAUCACUCCACAGUCCUCAGGCUUCCCCAAUCCAGGGGACUCGGCGCCGGGACGCUGCUAUGGACGACAUUUUCACUCAGUGCCGGGAGGGCAACGCCGUCGCCGUUCGCCUGUGGCUGGACAACACGGAGAACGACCUCAACCAGGGGGACGAUCAUGGCUUCUCCCCCUUGCACUGGGCCUGCCGAGAGGGCCGCUCUGCUGUGGUUGAGAUGUUGAUCAUGCGGGGGGCACGGAUCAAUGUAAUGAACCGUGGGGAUGACACCCCCCUGCAUCUGGCAGCCAGUCAUGGACACCGUGAUAUUGUACAGAAGCUAUUGCAGUACAAGGCAGACAUCAAUGCAGUGAAUGAACAUGGGAAUGUGCCCCUGCACUAUGCCUGUUUUUGGGGCCAAGAUCAAGUGGCAGAGGACCUGGUGGCAAAUGGGGCCCUUGUCAGCAUCUGUAACAAGUAUGGAGAGAUGCCUGUGGACAAAGCCAAGGCACCCCUGAGAGAGCUUCUCCGAGGUCCAUCUCCCCAUCCCCUAGCUUGUGUCCUCUCGUCCCUUCCCACCUGUCUUCUCCCUCUGUACCACAGCUCAGGUUGUUUUUCUUCCCUAGAGCGGGCAGAGAAGAUGGGCCAGAAUCUCAACCGUAUUCCAUACAAGGACACAUUCUGGAAGGGGACCACCCGCACUCGGCCCCGUGAGUCACCACUGUGGGAAGAAGGGUUGUAAAAGGAAAUAAUCCUGGCCUCUUGGGGCUGGGUUAGGGUGAAGCUGGGUACCUGACCUGCCCACACUCUUAGGAAAUGGAACCCUGAACAAACACUCUGGCAUUGACUUCAAACAGCUUAACUUCCUGACGAAGCUCAACGAGAAUCACUCCGGAGAGCUAUGGAAGGGCCGCUGGCAGGGCAAUGACAUUGUCGUGAAGGUGCUGAAGGUUCGAGACUGGAGUACAAGGAAGAGCAGGGACUUCAAUGAAGAGUGUCCCCGGCUCAGGAUUUUCUCGCAUCCAAAUGUGCUCCCAGUGCUAGGUGCCUGCCAGUCUCCACCUGCUCCUCAUCCUACUCUCAUCACACACUGGAUGCCAUAUGGAUCCCUCUACAAUGUACUACAUGAAGGCACCAAUUUCGUCGUGGACCAGAGCCAGGCUGUGAAGUUUGCUUUGGACAUGGCAAGGGGCAUGGCCUUCCUACACACACUAGAGCCCCUCAUCCCACGACAUGCACUCAAUAGCCGUAGUGUAAUGAUUGAUGAGGACAUGACUGCCCGAAUUAGCAUGGCUGAUGUCAAGUUCUCUUUCCAAUGUCCUGGUCGCAUGUAUGCACCUGCCUGGGUAGCCCCUGAAGCUCUGCAGAAGAAGCCUGAAGACACAAACAGACGCUCAGCAGACAUGUGGAGUUUUGCAGUGCUUCUGUGGGAACUGGUGACACGGGAGGUACCCUUUGCUGACCUCUCCAAUAUGGAGAUUGGAAUGAAGGUGGCAUUGGAAGGCCUUCGGCCUACCAUCCCACCAGGUAUUUCCCCUCAUGUGUGUAAGCUCAUGAAGAUCUGCAUGAAUGAAGACCCUGCAAAGCGACCCAAAUUUGACAUGAUUGUGCCUAUCCUUGAGAAGAUGCAGGACAAGUAG
rnacentral:sRNA from 1 species